AGUUGCUCAGGCCUUUUGAUGCUCAUCUGUUCAUUUGAGCUUAGCUCUGCUUUUAACUUACUCGAUUCUCUUCCCCUUCUCCUCAGAGAACCAGCUGGAAAGCCUGCCCGCAACUUGCUCGCUCACCUUCUUUGCCCACUCUCACCCCACAUGCUGGAACGCUUACCUGCCUCACACAGCCAAGUGCUGCCACCAUUAAUCCUGUGGAGAGAAGGAGAAAGUGUUUGGUCUGGAAACUGGGCAAUUUAGAAGUGGUUUCCAGAAGGAGCAGAUCGGAUUCUUUGUGAGCGGGAAAACAGAAUCUUGUACUUGUUGUAUACAGACUUAUAGGAAAGGACAGGGAGCUUUAGUCGGCCUUCCCGAGCAGCCGUGACUAAACUGGAAAAGAAACAGUGGAGGAAGACAAAAUGCUCCCUCCCACCUCCGUAACCCGCUGUUCAGCCGAAAGGUUAUUAUUCAGCAUGUUUGAGCCUACACCUGCCCGUCCUCCUGCCCGCCUGGAGUUCAGAUUAGCCACCGGUCAUCAUCUCCUCCACCUUCCUGUAGCCCUCUCCCGCGGACCCUCACCCCUCCCUCCGGUUCCCACGGCCAAGCCCUGAUUCCUCCCACGGUCCCGAUCACGGCGUUCCCGAGUUGUUAUCUCCCGGUCCCUUGGCUCUAAUAUUACACUGCGUGUUUUCCUUUGAUCAUUCCGGGACACCCUUAGUUUGAGAAAUAAAGUUGUUCUGCGUGCAUCCCGG
ensembl:lncRNA